CCUUGUAUAUUAAGCUGUGGAGGUGAAGGCAAGAGCUAGGCUUCUGAAUUUAAAAAGACCCAAUUUCCCCAGAAUGAGGGAAUUGAUGGGCACAUAUAAUUGGAUGAUGCUACUGCAGGGUCGCAGUGGAGGCAGGCAGGUCAGCUUGAAGACUACAAGGAUCCUGGGAAAUGGAUUGUACAUUCACAUCAUGCCAUACGUGGAAAAUGCUUUUAUAGGAUGCUGAAGAGUUGCUACCAAACUACAAGGGUUUACAUCACAUCUCCAGCAAUCUUCAGCACUAACAAGAUAAAAUCAAACUUGCCUGAAUCUAUUGAUGGACAAAACUAACCAUACAUCUGGGGCUGACAUCUCUACUUAGCAAGAGAAAGAAUCUACCACUGCUUCU